GUGCUCACUUUGGCAGCACACAUACUAAAAUUGAAAUGAUACAGAGAAUAUCAGCAUGGCCCCUGGAAGGGUGACGUGCAAAUUCGUGAAGCGUUCCAUAUUUUA
rnacentral:snRNA from 1 species